rnacentral:rRNA from 1 species
CUGACGUUGAGGCUCGAAAGCGCGGGUAUCAAACAGGAUUAGAUACCCUGGUAGUCCGCGCAGUAAACGAUGGACACCCGCUGUCGGCGACACACUGUCGGCGGCCAAGCGAAAGCGUUAAGUGUCCCACCUGGGGAGUACGCCGGCAACGGUGAAACUCAAAGGAAUUGACGGGGGCCCGCACAAGCGGAGGAACAUGUGGUUUAAUUCGAUGAUACGCGAGGAACCUUACCCGGGCUUGAAUUGCAUGCGUCGGGCCGAGAGACCGGCCUUCCCUUCGGGGCGCAUGUGAAGGUGCUGCAUGGUUGUCGUCAGCUCGUGCCGUGAGGUGUCGGCUUAAGUGCCAUAACGAGCGCAACCCCCGCCUCCAGUUGCCAUCGGGUGAUGCCGGGCACUCUGGAGGGACUGCCGCCGUAAGGUGCGAGGAAGGCGGGGAUGACGUCAAAUCAGCACGGCCCUUACGUCCGGGGCCACACACGUGUUACAAUGGGGGGCACAGCGGGGCGCCACCGCGCGAGCGGGCGCCGAUCCCUAAACCCUCCCGUAGUUCGGAUUGGGGUCUGCAACCCGACCCCAUGAAGCUGGAUUCGCUAGUAAUCG